UAGAGUCUUUUUUAAAAUAAUCGAAGACAGUGGAGCACGUUAUUAAUUAAGCGCGAUCUUAGACAUCGAGACUGAGUGUAGAAGAUUUACGUACAUUCGAGGCAUAUUUUUCAAUUGAACAUUACGCUGAACAUACAUACAAUUACGUUGGCAGUUGCUGUAGAGGAUGCAGCGCAGUGCGACGAGAUAAAACAAGCGAACGGGAGGCGCGAUGCCGUCCUAUUUUUAAGUAUGUGAUAAACUGGACGUUUCAACUCGUACCGCGAUAACUUGUGAAUGAUUUACUGUGGAUUGACCAAAAACAAAAAAAUGAUAAUUCUGUAAAAGGAGUAUACCA